rnacentral:rRNA from 1 species
UGGGGAAUCUUGCGCAAUGGUCGAGAGACUGACGCAGCGACGCCGCGUGUGGGAGGACGCCUUUCGGGGUGUAAACCACUGUUGCGCGGGACGAACAGCGCUAUUCGUGGCGUCUGACGGUACCGGGUGAGGAAGCACCGGCUAACUCCGUGCCAGCAGCCGCGGUAAUACGGAGGGUGCGAGCGGUGUCCGGAAUCAUUGGGCGUAAAGGGCGCGUAGGUGGCCCGGUCAGUCUUUGGUGAAAGCGCGGGGCUCAACCCUGCGUCGGCCAGGGAUACUGCCGCGGCUGGAGCACUGUAGAGGCAGGCGGAAUUCCGGGUGUAGCGGUGGAAUGCGUAGAGAUCCGGAAGAACACCGGUGGCGAAGGCGGCCUGCUGGGCAGUUGCUGACACUGAGGCGCGACAGCGUGGGGAGCAAAC